UAUCCUCAGGAUGAAUUGAUUUAUUUCACCGAAGCUAUCCGGAGACUCCAUAUAAGAGUUAUUUCCCCUUUUAUAUUUGAUAUAAGUGAUAUGCAUUUUUAACUGGAAAACCAUAAGUGUUAGAGGCCUAGGGUCUUUUGAUUUGAGGUCCUUGGUCCAAAAAAAUGAAAAUGAGGUCAAGGUCAAAGGUCAAGGUCAUGAUUAAAUUUUUGAUUUUGGCUUGUUAUCUCUUAUUUUCAGAAAUCUUAUAAGAUAUCGAAAAAAUAUUUUCACAUAAUUGAUAGUCGCGACAUGUAGUUACACAUAAAUUUUAGUCGAAAG
rnacentral:lncRNA from 1 species